rnacentral:rRNA from 1 species
AUACGUAGGGUGCGAGCGUUGUCCGGAAUUACUGGGCGUAAAGAGCUCGUAGGUGGUUUGUCGCGUCGUCUGUGAAAUUCCGGGGCUUAACUCCGGGCGUGCAGGCGAUACGGGCAUAACUUGAGUACUGUAGGGGAGACUGGAAUUCCUGGUGUAGCGGUGAAAUGCGCAGAUAUCAGGAGGAACACCGGUGGCGAAGGCGGGUCUCUGGGCAGUAACUGACGCUGAGGAGCGAAAGCAUGGGUAGCGAACAGGAUUAGAUACCCUGGUAGUCCAUGCCGUAAACGGUGGGCGCUAGGUGUAGGGGUCUUCCACGACUUCUGUGCCGUAGCUAACGCAUUAAGCGCCCCGCCUGGGGAGUACGGCCGCAAGGCUAAAACUUAAAGGAAUUGGCGGGG